CAACAACUAAAACUUCAGGCAAAGACUUUGCAUGUUCUAAUUCAUGAUUCUAUUCAGUGGGGUUCUUCUCUGAGAGAAUGAAAGUUCAGCCCCCUGAAUUUAUGCUAUUUAUGACACACUACAGUACACAAGCUAUUGUGUGAUACUCAAAGGUCAUCACUGCUCACAAUUUACAGUCCAAUCCCAAGACCAAUCCUGGGACACUCCAAACAUCACACAGGCAACAACCCAAAGCAAACAUUCUGCUGUCACUCUAUGGUAAAAUACUGUUAUGUUAAAUAAUACUGAAAUUGAGCUUAGUUGAAUCCACACCCUGUUAAUACAAGCACGUGAAUCCCUUCAGCAGCAUUCCAUGAAACAGAAUGUAGAAUCAUGGAAUAGUUUGGAUUGUAAGGGACUUUUAGAAGUAAUCCAGUUGAACACCCGCCAUGGACUGGGACUCUUCAACCAGAUCAGGUUGCUCAGAGCCCCAUCCAGUCCCCAUCUACUGCCACUCUGGGCAACCUGUUCCAGUAUUCUACCAUCCUAGUCACAAAAUUUUUCUUACUUGUAUAUAAUAUGAAUCUGCCAUCUUUUAGUUUAAAACUAUUACUCCUUGUCCUGUCCCUACAGGCCCUACUAAAAAGUCUGUCCCCACCUUCUUACAAGCCCCCUUUAAGUACUAGAACGUCACAAUAUGGUCUCCCCAAAGUCAAGUCCUCUCCAGGCUGAAUAACCCAAGUCUCUCAGCCUGCCUUCAUAGGAAAGGAGUUCCCCUGAACCCACUCCAACAGAGCAGAACAGGGGGGCAGAAUCUCCUCCCUCCCCUGCUGGCCACUCUGCUUUGGAUGCAGCCCAGGAUACUUUUGGUUUCUGGGGUGUGAAUGCACACUGCUGGGUCAUGUCCACCAGGCACCCCCAGGUCCUUCUGGUCAGAGCUGCUCCGGAUCUGUUCAUCCCCGCCUGGGUUGGUACUUGGGGUUACCCUGACCCAGGUGCAGCACCUUGCACUUGGUCUUGUUAAACCUCAUGAGAUUCCCAUGGGCCCAAUUCUUGUCAACUCCCUCUGGAUGGCAUCCUGUCCUUCAGGCACUUCAACUGCAUCACACAGCUUGGUGUCAUCUGCAAAUUUUUCUGAGCAUUCACUCAAUCCCACUGUUUUAUGCUAUUGAUGAAGAUAUUAAGCAGGACUGCUCCUAAUACAGACCCUUGAUGGACACCAAUUGUAACUGAUCUUCAUCUGGACAUGGAGACACUGACCCUCUGAAUGCAGCUAUCCAGACAAUUCCUUAUCCACUGAACAGCCCAUCCACCAAAUCCAUCUCUCCCCAAUUUAGAGAGUAGGAUGCUGAGGGGAACCAUGUCACACACUUCUAUGCAACUCUCCUUGGUUGAACACCUACAGUCCAGCUUUCCUCCAUUCACAAAAACUGAGAGGAUAUGAAAGUCAGGGGAAAUAUCACUACUUUCCUAGAACAGAGCAACACCCUGCUAGUCACAUACUCGUUUUCUAAUAAGUGUUUUGCAAAUUCUGCCACGGAUUAAGUGAGAAAUAACAUAUAUAGACUUAAAAUAAAUUUCUUUUCCAUCCCAGAUAGUGAUUAUGUUCUAGAGAAAAAAAAAAAAAAAAAAAAGAAA